GCCAACGUCCAAACCACGUUGAAUACACCGGUUCUCGUCCGAUCACCGAAGUUAAGCAACAUCGGGCGCGGUCAGUACUUGGAUGGGUGACCGCCUGGGAACACCGCGUGACGUUGGCU
rnacentral:rRNA from 1 species